AUGGAGAAUGGUCCAUGGUUUAUCUACGAUCACUAUCUCACACUGAAGGAUUGGAGGCCGAAUUUUCAGCCGAAAAUUGAUACCAUAGAAGAAGUAGCAGUGUGGGUUAGAAUCUUGGGGUUGUCGAUUGAAUACUAUGAUCCUAGGGCAUUAUUUGUCUUUGGUGAUCUCAUAGAUCAUACGGUGAAAGUGGACAAAACCAGGAUUAAACAUGAAAGAGGAAAAUUUGCUUGA
rnacentral:lncRNA from 1 species